CUGAACAGCCAGCCCAGUAUGCCAAGGUCUUCUCUGCUUGGACUUACAGGAAGAACCACCAGCGGGCAAUCGAGUCCUUGCAGGCCAGCCUAGAGGCAGAGGCCAAGGGCCGGGCAGAGGCACUUCGGCUCAAGAAGAAGAUGGAGACGGACCUGAAUGAGAUGGAAAUCCAGCUGGACCACGCCAACAAGAACAACAGCGAACUUGUAAAGACAUUGAAAAGGCUGCAACAGCAAAUCAAGGACCUGCAGGUCCAGAUGGACGAGGAUGCCAGGCAGCACGAGGAGCUGCGGAAGCAGUACAACCUGCAGGAGCGGCGCUUGAGCCUGCUGCAGACGGAGCUGGAGGAGGUGCGCUCAGCCCUGGAGGGCAGCGAGCGUUCACGCAAGCUGUUGGAGCAGGAAGUGGUGGAGAUC
ensembl:lncRNA novel transcript